rnacentral:rRNA from 1 species
AGGCUCGUCAAUCGAAAUGAGUACAAUUUAAAUCCUUUAACGAGUACCAAUUGGAGGGCAAGUCUGGUGCCAGCAGCCGCGGUAAUUCCAGCUCCAAUAGCGAAUAUUAAAUUUGUUGCAGUUAAAAAGCUCGUAGUUGGAUCCAAGGUUAGGCAUGCCUGUCUGUUCUUAGUAGCAUGACUGUGUGUGUCUGCCUUUAUUAGUUGAAUGUUCAUUAUGGUGGUCUUCACCGACUGCUAUGAUGUGCUCAACACGUUUACCUUGAAAAAAUCAGAGCGAUCAAGGCAGGCCUUCGUGCUUGUAUGUUGUUGCAAGGAAUAAUAGAAUAGGACUUCGGUUCUAUUUUGUUGGUUUUGAGAAUUGAAGUAAUGAACAAUAGAGACAGUCGGGGGCAUUUGUAUGGUGGCGUUAGAGGUGAAAUUCUGAGAUCGUCGCCAGACAAACUACUGCGAAAGCAUUUGCCAAGGAUGUCUUCAUUAAUCAAGAACGAAAGUCAGAGGUUCGAAGACGAUCAGAUACCGUCCUAGUUCUGACCAUAAACGAUGCCGACCUACAAUCGGGGGUGGUUUAUUAUAUUGACCCCCCCGGCUGUCCUCAGGAAACUUUAAGUUGGUUCUGGGGGGAAUAUGGUCUCAAGACUGAAACUUAAAGGAAUUGACGGAAGGGCACCACCAGGAGUGGAGCCUGCGGCUUAAUUUGACCCAACACGGGGAAUCUCACCCGGUCCGGACACUGGUAGGAUGGACAGAUUGAUAGCUCUUUCUUGAUUCAGUGGGUGGUGGUGCAUGGCCGUUCUUAGUUGGUGGAGUGAUUUGUCUGGUUAAUUCCGAUAACGAACGAGACUCUGUCCUGCUAAAUAGUCCAGUGGCAUCAAUCACUAUGUGAUUACAGCUGCUGUUACUUCUUAGAGGGAUUCGCGGAUUUAAACCGCAAGAAAUAGAGCAAUAACAGGUCUGUGAUGCCCUUAGAUGUCCGGGGCCGCACGCGCGCUACAUUGACAGUAGAAGCGAGUAUUUCUACCUGGUUCGAAAGAAUUGGGAAAUCUUCGAAUUACUGUCUCCACAGGGAUUGAGGUUUGCAAUUUUGCCUCAUGAACGAGGAAUUCCCAGUAGGCGCAAGUCAUCAGCUUGCGUCGAUUACGUCCCUGCCCUUUGUACACACCGCCCGUCGCUACUACCGAUUGAGUGCAUUAGUGAGGACCUCGGAUUGAGAACAUAGUGGCGCAAGUUACUUUGUUUUCGAAAAGUGGUUCAAAUUUGUGCAUUUAGAGAUAGUAAAAGUCGU